rnacentral:rRNA from 1 species
AGUGAACGCUGGCGGUAGGCCUAACACAUGCAAGUCGAACGGCAGCACAGUAAGAGCUUGCUCUUACGGGUGGCGAGUGGCGGACGGGUGAGGAAUACAUCGGAAUCUACUUUUUCGUGGGGGAUAACGCAGGGAAACUUACGCUAAUACCGCAUACGACCUACGGGUGAAAGCAGGGGAUCUUCGGACCUUGCGCGAUUGAAUGAGCCGAUGUUGGAUUAGCUAGUUGGCGGGGUAAAGGCCAACCGAGGCGACGAUCCGUAGCCAGUCUGAGAGGAUGGUUAGCCACACUGGAACUGAGCCACCUUCCGGACUCCUGCGGGAGGCAGCAGUGGGGAAUAUUAGACAAUGGGCGUAAACCUGAUCCAGCGAUACCGCGUGGGUGAAGAAGGCGUUCGGGUUGUAAAGCCCUCUUGUUGGGAAAGAAAAGCAGCAGGUUAAUACCCCGCUGUUCUGACGGUACCCAGAGAAUAAGCACCGGCUAACUUCGUG